GUGGGGAAUAUUGGACAAUGGGCGAAAGCCUGAUCCAGCCAUGCCGCGUGUGUGAAGAAGGUCUUCGGAUUGUAAAGCACUUUAAGUUGGGAGGAAGGGUAGUAACCUAAUACGUUGCUACUUUGACGUUACCGACAGAAUAAGCACCGGCUAACUUCGUGCCAGCAGCCGCGGUAAUACGAAGGGUGCAAGCGUUAAUCGGAAUUACUGGGCGUAAAGCGCGCGUAGGUGGUUCAGUAAGUUGGAAGUGAAAUCCCCGGGCUCAACCUGGGAACUGCUUUCAAAACUGGCGAGCUAGAGUACGGUAGAGGGUGGUGGAAUUUCCUGUGUAGCGGUGAAAUGCGUAGAUAUAGGAAGGAACACCAGUGGCGAAGGCGACCACCUGGACUGAUACUGACACUGAGGUGCGAAAGCGUGGGGAGCAAACAGGAUUAGAUACCCGUGUAGUCC
rnacentral:rRNA from 1 species